rnacentral:rRNA from 1 species
UACGGAGGGGGCAAGAGCUGUUCGGCAUUACGGGGCGUAAAGGGCGCGUAGGCGGACCUUCAAGUCAGGGGUGAAAGGCCUGGGCUCAACCUGGGAACUGCCUUUGAAACUGGAGGUCUUGAGUCCGGGAGAGGAUGGCGGAAUUCCCAGUGUAGAGGUGAAAUUCGUAGAUAUUAGGAAGAACACCGGUGGCGAAGGCGGCCCACUGGAUCGGUACUGACGCUGAGGUGCGAAAGCGUGGGGAGCAAACAGG